rnacentral:rRNA from 1 species
AGCAGCAGCCGCGGGAAUACGUAGGUGGCAAGCGUUGUCCGGAAUUAUUGGGCGUAAAGCGCGCGCAGGCGGCCUAUCCAGUCUGUCUUAAAAGUUCGGGGCUCAACCCCGUGAUGGGAUGGAAACUAGUAGGCUAGAGUAUCGGAGAGGAAAGCGGAAUUCCUAGUGUAGCGGUGAAAUGCGUAGAUAUUAGGAAGAACACCAGUGGCGAAGGCGGCUUUCUGGACGAAAGCUGACGCUGAGGCGCGAAAGCCAGGGGAGCGAACGGGAUUAGAUACCCCCGUAGUCCCUGUCUCUUAUACA